CCUACGGGAGGCAGCAGUGAGGAAUAUUGGUCAAUGGGCGCGAGCCUGAACCAGCCAAGUAGCGUGAAGGAUGACUGCCCUACGGGUUGUAAACUUCUUUUAUAAAGGAAUAAAGUGAGGCACGUGUGCCUUUUUGUAUGUACUUUAUGAAUAAGGAUCGGCUAACUCCGUGCCAGCAGCCGCGGUAAUACGGAGGGUCCGGGCGUUACUCGGAAUUACUGGGCGUAAAGCGGUCGUAGGCGGGAUGUUAAGUCAAUGGUGAAAUGCCCCGGCUCAACGUGGGAAUUGCCAUUGACACUGGCAGGUUGGAGUGCGUGAGAGGAUAGUGGAAUUCCAGGUGUAGGAGUGAAAUCCGUAGAUAUCUGGAGGAACACCAGUGGCGAAGGCGACUAUCUGGA
rnacentral:rRNA from 1 species